GAUGCUGCGUGAAAAAGAUAAAACUCCUUGUAUUCGUCGAAUACUGCGUCAGUUUCCUAUUUUUACCUUGCAUC
rnacentral:ncRNA from 1 species